AGAACAAUCUUCCAAUAUGGUAAUUGACAUAUGAGAAUGACCCACCGACCGGCACAAAAAUUAGUCACCCCUAAAAACUAAUGCCCCAAACAAAAAGGACACCUCUCCCAAAAUGCAUUAUAACGUUUCCAUUUUAAGAUACAAAAUUUCUGGAUGAAGUGGUUUAUUUAUUUUUAGUUAGUAUAUAAAAGAAGAGAUGAUAAGAAGUAGUAUUUAGAAAUUUUGUUAUCGAUUAAUAUCCGUAAAACGAUCAAGGCUUCAAGGCUCUUUGUACUUUUUCGGCCUGAUAGUAGUAGUAGCAGGCCAGGGCAGCACCGAAAACGAAACGUCAAAAUGCCAACUGGAUUAGUAGCCGAGCCGAAUCCGAUGAUGACCCAAGCCACCAUCCCACCUCACCUCACCUCACCCUCACGCGCUCUCUCACAUCCCGGCGACCCAACCUCACCCUCUCCCUCUUUCUAUUAUUGCCUUUCCCCACUCUCACGCCUCUCUCAUGUGUCCGCCGCGUUAUUGCCGAACCGAUCUCAUCCCCCUUCUCUCUUUUUUCUAUUAACCCCUAUCAAUAACCUCAAUCUUCCCCUAACCAAAACCAACCCCACCCUUUUUUCCUCCUCCCCCACCCCCCUCAAUGGGCGACCUUACCGAUUCCCUCACCCCUCCUUCCACCACUCCCCACUCCCGUCCGUUGCCUGUCCGUGAAGAUUGUUGGUCUGAGGAAGCUACCUCUACUCUCGUCGACGCUUGGGGUCGUCGUUACGUCGAGCUUAACCGUGGGAACCUCCGUCAGAAGGAUUGGCAAGAUGUUGCUGACGCCGUUAACGCCCUUCACGGUCAUACCAAAAAGACGCACCGUACGGAUGUUCAGUGCAAGAACCGCAUUGAUACCAUCAAGAAAAAGUACAAGAUCGAGAAAACUCGUGUUGCCUCCUCUAACGGAACCCUAGGGUCGUCAUGGCCUUUCUUCGAACGCUUGGAUGUUCUUAUCGGAUCCAAUUUCGCCGCUAAAAAGCUUUUACCGUCGCCUAAGAUAUCACCGAAGCCAUCCCCGAGGUUGUCACCGAGGAUCCCGGGGUCUCCUCCUACGGCUCUCCCUCUUCCUAUGCCGUACGGGAGGACUCCGGCGUCGGCCACGGUUGUCGCCCUUCCGCAGAAGAGGCCAGCGUCGGACGAUGGGUAUUUCAGGAGAAAUUAUUCGGCCGUUGCGGCUGCGGCGGCUGCUGCUGCUGUGGGAAGUGAUGAGGAGGAGGGAGAGGAAAGCGAGGGAGAGGACAGUGAAGGAGAAGGAGAGGAGAGGGAAGGGAUGAAGAGAUUGGCGAGAGCGAUAGAGAGGUUUGGGCAAGUAUAUGAAAAGGUGGAAGGGGAGAAGCUGAGGCAGAUGGUGGAAUUGGAGAAGCAAAGAAUGCAAUUUGCUAAAGAUUUGGAAGUGCAGAGGAUGAGGAUGUUUAUGGAUACACAGGUGCAGCUGGAGAGGAUCAAGCGUGGCAAACGAUCCUCGGCUUCCAGUGGUUGAGAGAAUAAGACUGAUCAGGUUCAGGCUUGUGUUCAGAUCAACUUUAAUCUGACCUUCUCAUUUACUUUCAUGGCGUGUCAGCAAAAAAUGGAUGUUUCUCCAUUGCUGGUAUGCUGAUAGAGAUAUUUAUAGCUAGCCAUAUGGGAAAGAGAUUUGACUGUUUUUUGCUUGGGAAAAACAUGAAGAAUAUUGAUUUAAUUCUCAUCCGUUGAAAGUAUAUAUAUAGUUGUACCUGAUACUGGCCUAACCAGUAGUUGGCAGAUAAGGAUGCCAGAGUUGUUUAAAGUUUUCUUUCUUUUGCCUUUUCCCCUUAUUUUGGGGGCCAUAAAGAACUGAACUCAAUCUAAUUUAUUUUGGGAUGUUGAACUGGGCCUACAUUUGGUCCAAAUGUCGUUUGUUUUAGUUGGUGGGUCUCUAACUUGUUAGCUUCUGUAAGUCGUUUGUUUCUUCUUGCAAUGUACACAACAUUAGGCUGUAUCCUUGUAUUCACAAAGCUGUGCUUAGCCAAAA